rnacentral:rRNA from 1 species
UACGUAGGGUGCGAGUGUUGUCCGGAAUUAUUGGGCGUAAAGAGCUCGUAGGCGGUCUGUCGCGUCGGUCGUGAAAACUUGGGGCUUAACCCCGGGCCUGCAGUGGGUACGGGCAGACUAGAGUGCGGUAGGGGAGACUGGAAUUCCUGGUGUAGCGGUGAAAUGCGCAGAUAUCAGGAGGAACACCGGUGGCGAAGGCGGGUCUCUGGGCCGUAACUGACGCUGAGGAGCGAAAGCGUGGGGAGCGAACAGG